rnacentral:rRNA from 1 species
UCUCACUUACCCCCGCGGUAGGCUGUGAAAAACGGUCGUUGCUAAUUUCUAGUCUUUGAAAAAAGACAACCGAAAAUACAACACCAUACAGUGGAUCAUUUGGCUCAGGGGUCGAUGAAGAACGGAGCUAGCUCCGAGACGUAAUGUGAACUGCAGGACAUACGAAU